GACGAACGCUGGCGGCGUGCUUAACACAUGCAAGUCGAACGGAAAGGCCUGCUUUCCCUUGUGGAUUGCGGGUACUCGAGUGGCGAACGGGUGAGUAACACGUGAGUGAUCUGCCCCCAACUUGGGUAUAAGCCUGGGAAACUGGGUCUAAUUCCCGAUAGGACUGCAGGGUGGUGCCUGUGGUGGAAAACGAUUUUCUAGUGGUUGGGGAUGAGCUCGCGGCCUAUCAGCUUGUUUGUGGGGUAAUGGCCUACCAAGGCGGCGACGGGUAGCCGGCCUGAGAGGGUGGACGGCCACAUUGGGACUGAGAUACGGCCCAGACUCCUACGGGAGGCAGCAGUGGGGAAUAUUGCACAAUGGGCGGAAGCCUGAUGCAGCGACGCCGCGUGGGGGAUGACGGCCUUCGGGUUGUAAACUCCUUUCGACCGCGAGGAAGCCACCUGGUUGGAAGGGUGGUGACGGUAGUGGUAGAAGAAGCACCGGCUAACUACGUG
rnacentral:rRNA from 1 species